rnacentral:miRNA from 1 species
UAAAACCCACAAUUAUGUUUGU